GAUGAACGCUGGCGGCGUGCCUAAUACAUGCAAGUCGAGCGAAUGGAUUAAGAGCUUGCUCUUAUGAAGUUAGCGGCGAACGGGUGAGUAACACGUGAGUAACCUGCCCUUGACUCUGGGAUAACUGCGGGAAACUGUGGCUAAUACCGGAUACGACCCUCGGCGGCAUCGCCAGGGGGUGGAAAGAAUUUCGGUCAAGGAUGGACUCGCGGCCUAUCAGCUAGUUGGUGAGGUAACGGCUCACCAAGGCGACGACGGGUAGCCGGCCUGGGAGGGUGACCGGCCACACUGGGACUGAGACACGGCCCAGACUCCUACGGGAGGCAGCAGUAGGGAAUCUUCCGCAAUGGACGAAAGUCUGACGGAGCAACGCCGCGUGAGUGAUGAAGGCUUUCGGGUCGUAAAACUCUGUUGUUAGGGAAGAACAAGUGCUAGUUGAAUAAGCUGGCACCUUGACGGUACCUAACCAGAAAGCCACGGCUAACUACGUGCCAGCCGCCGCGGUAA
rnacentral:rRNA from 1 species